rnacentral:rRNA from 1 species
GCUACCAUGCAGUCGUGGGGCAGCAGGGGGGAACUUCGGUUCCCCUGCUGGCGACCGGCGGACGGGUGCGUAACACGUAGCUACUUGCCUUGCAGUGGGGGAUAACCCGGGGAAACCCGGGCUAAUACCGCAUACACCCGAGAGGGGAAAGGCCCGUAAGGGUCGCUGCAAGAUAGGGCUGCGGCGUAUCAGCUAGUUGGUGGGGUAACGGCCUACCAAGGCUAUGACGCGUAGCUGGUCUGAGAGGAUGAUCAGCCACACUGGAACUGAGACACGGUCCAGACUCCUACGGGAGGCAGCAGUGGGGAAUCUUGGGCAAUGGGCGAAAGCCUGACCCAGCAACGCCGCGUGGAGGAAGAAGCCCUUCGGGGUGUAAACUCCUUUUGCAGGGGAAGAGAGUGACGGUACCCUGCGAAUAAGCUCCGGCUAACUCCGUGCCAGCAGCCGCGGUAAUACGGGGGGAGCGAGCGUUACUCGGAAUUACUGGGCGUAAAGGGUGCGUAGGCGGCUUAGUAAGUUAGGAGUGAAAGCCUACGGCUUAACCGUAGGAUUGCUCCUAAAACUGCUAAGCUAGAGUCCGGGAGAGGCUGCGGGAAUUCCUGGUGUAGGGGUGAGAUCCGUAGAGAUCAGGAGGAAUGCCGAAAGCGAAGGCGCGCAGCUGGAACGGUACUGACGCUGAGGCACGAAAGCG